rnacentral:lncRNA from 1 species
AAUUCUUAUAACUCUAAUUUUUUUAUUCUUUAUUGCAGUAUGCCCUCCAGUAAAAUGUCAUAUAGAAAUAAUGAUAGCUGAAAUCCUCAUCUUUUCCCAAAAUCAAGUGAAAAUAUUUCAGUACACUACUGUUAAGUAGGAUGCUUGCCAUGGAUGUUUUGUGUAUACUCUUUGUUAGUUUAAAGAAGUUCUUUUAAUUCCAAAUUUACUGAGAGUUUUCAUCAUGAAUAAGUGUUGAAUUUUAUCAAAUAAUUUUAAUGCAUCUGGGGAGAUGAUGAUAUGAUUUUUUGCCUUCAUCUGUUGUUAAUGUGGAGAGUUUCACUAAUUGAUUUUGGAAUGUUAAGCCAACCUCGCACACUUUGAAUAAAGACAAUUUGGCCAUUAUGCACUAUCUUUUUAUACAUUAAUGUUCAGUUUACUAUUUUUUUGGUUAGAAUCUUUGUGCCUAUUUAUGACAGGGAUUAUGUUGUAUUUUUUUUUUCUUGUAAUAUCCUUGUCAAGGUUAUGCUAGCCUCAUGAAAUAAGAUAGAAAAUGUUUUCUCCAUAUUUCAGGUUAAUUGGUGUUAUUUCUUUCUUAAAAGGAUGACUUCAUGUUGAACUUAACUGGACCUGGAUUUAUCUUUGAAUGCUGGAGCAGAGGUACUGAAUGAGGAAGUGGAGUCUUGGGAUACCUUUGGAGGGAUCCAGUUAAUGGACUGGCUGCCAUAAUUGGUCUGAGACACUGGUGCAAGCAUGAGAAUGGGAAUCUACAGGUCUCUAUCCCUGGUGAGCCCGGAGGUUGAGUUUUCACAAGGGCAGCAAGAAGAAUCCCUUCUCCUCUUCCUGUCCACCUUCUGAAGAGGAGGAGACAGAGCCGGGUUGCAGAUCCUCACCAAAGUGGAUGCUGUUCCCAGAGGAAGGAAGGCCCCCCCGGGGCAAGGUUGCCAACAUGACCCCACAGAGACCAGGAACAAACGUUCUUGCCUUUGGACUUCACUUCUUCACAGAGCCAGAGUUACAGGCCAACCUGAAGAUGGUAUCAUGACUCACACACACUUAUUUCUCAGCCUCAGCCAGGCUCAAGAGCAAGACUGCUGAAGGAGGAAGGGCCCUUCAUGGCCUCCUCUGCCUCGUGACUGCUUUACCUGCCACUGAUGAGGCUUCCCUGGGAUGAGAUGGAGACGAGGGCACUGAAUGACUUUGAGUUAGGGGGACUCAAGAGGGUGAGGGCACCAUGAUCAUUACCCCUUCAGUCUCCUGUCUCCCUCUUGGCAUCUCUGCAACACAGAAGGCUGGCAAUGGUGAGAUAUUAUAUUGUCAAUUAUUCAAACUUUAGAAUUUUCUGAUGCCUCAACAUCCCUGCAAAUGGGCUGUGAGCACCUUGCCCAGGUGACCAGGUGCACCAGUGUGCUAAGGCUGGUCCGGGCCACAGGUUCCCCACUUUGUGCUCCCCUGACUGGGACCUAGUGACAUCAACACCACCAGUGCAAUCCCCUCACACCUUUUGCUUGUGGAUUCCCCUCUGAAGUCCAAUAAAGGCGCUUGUCUGAG